rnacentral:rRNA from 1 species
AUUGAACGCUGGCGGCAGGCUUAACACAUGCAAGUCGAGCGGGGUGAUGGUGCUUGCACUAUCACUUAGCGGCGGACGGGUGAGUAAUGCUUAGGAAUCUGCCUAUUAGUGGGGGACAACAUCUCGAAAGGGAUGCUAAUACCGCAUACGUCCUACGGGAGAAAGCAGGGGAUCACUUGUGACCUUGCGCUAAUAGAUGAGCCUAAGUCGGAUUAGCUAGUUGGUGGGGUAAAGGCCUACCAAGGCGACGAUCUGUAGCGGGUCUGAGAGGAUGAUCCGCCACACUGGGACUGAGACACGGCCCAGACUCCUACGGGAGGCAGCAGUGGGGAAUAUUGGACAAUGGGGGGAACCCUGAUCCAGCCAUGCCGCGUGUGUGAAGAAGGCCUUGUGGUUGUAAAGCACUUUAAGCGAGGAGGAGGCUCUUUUGGUUAAUACCCAAGAUGAGUGGACGUUACUCGCAGAAUAAGCACCGGCUAACUCUGUGCCAGGAGCCGCCGCUG